rnacentral:rRNA from 1 species
UCCUACGGGAGGCAGCAGUGGGGAAUAUUGCACAAUGGGCGGAAGCCUGAUGCAGCAACGCCGCGUGCGGGAUGACGGCCUUCGGGUUGUAAACCGCUUUCGCCUGUGACGAAGCGUGAGUGACGGUAGUGGGUAAAGAAGCACCGGCUAACUACGUGCCAGCAGCCGCGGUGAUACGUAGGGUGCGAGCGUUGUCCGGAUUUAUUGGGCGUAAAGGGCUCGUA